CUGGGGGCCCUGUGGGUUCUCCAUGUCGUCUUCGAAAUCGAACUCAUCGCCACGACCUUGCCUUGUUUGCUUCUGCAUCCAUCUCUGGCAAGCUCUUAGGUGCUGUGAUUGCUGGAACUCCUUCUGGCAUCUCUGUCUUGGGCCCAUGGGGUUGGUGGCGUCAUCUUCCUCGAACUCGACGACUGUGCGGUAGAUGGAAGCGUUGGUGAGGAGGAAGCAGAGGGCGAGAGUUGCGCAGACGAGGAAGAGCUUGUUUGCCAUUUUUUGCUAUUUGUGUAUGUUUUCUUGUUUUGGUUUGAGUGAAGAGUGUAGUGAAGGGUUGGUUUUUAUUUAUAGGUGACAAAGGAGAUUUGCAUGGCAAUCACGUGUAAGAAUGCAUGAGUGUGUGUGGAGUCAUGGAGAGAGAGAUUCUCUUACGUUGUUGUCGGGAUUAGGUGUUGGAAAAGAGUGACAAGUGACGAACAAUACCACUCCUAGGCUCCUAGCUCCGCUUCUGCAUGCUAUGUGUGAUUUGUAGCUCAUUUUCUGACAUGACAUUAUGAACGAUUAUAUUUUUUAGAAUUAAGAAGGUAAAACUUUUUUAGUAAAACACACUUUUAAUUUGGUUUUGAUCGAAUGAGAUGCGAAUUCAAUCUUUUGGUGGUAGUGCUGUUGGAAAUAUAGUUUUGUGAGCUUAAUCAGAAACUUAGAAUUUUAAAAUAAAUCUAUAUAGUCACGCAGGCCCGGCUCACUCAUCGGUAAGACCCGGUGCCAUACAAAAAAAAAUCUUAUCUUUAAUAAAAAAUUUAUAUAUAUAUAUAUAUAUAUAUAUUUACAAAAAGUUAUAUUUCAUAAAUUAUUUUGUAUUUUAUAGCUAUUUGGACAUGUUAUUUUUGUUUAUUAAUUUUGGGGCUCAAUAUUACCUUUUAAAAUAAAAUUUUGGGACCUUUACAUAUGGAUAUUGUAUAAAAUUUCAGCAUAAUUAAAUAAUUAAAUAAUAAAAAAACUAUGAAUUUGGACCUUAAAUUUGUUGGACCCGGUGCAAAUGCACCACUUGCACAUGCCAAUAACCGGCCCUGUAGUCACGGUUCACGAACCAUGUAAUAAAAUUUUAUAAAAUAUGAGGGAUAUAUAUUAAAAAAAAAUUCAUAAAUAUUUAACCCUCUAAAUGACUCGUACAAAAAAUACAAACAAUAAGUAAUUUAUCUCUUACAUAAAAUCAGUGGUAAUAAAUUAAAGUUAAGAAAUAAAACCGAAAUAUGUGAGACACACACAUAAUUAGAGGUGUCAAAAACUCAAAAUGCGUCAAAAUUAAACUUAUAGAUUUACCAAAACAUUAUAACCCAAACCGUGAACUACAAGUCAAAGAAAGUAUCAGGAACCAUGUUUUGACUGAAAAUUCAAAAGAGAGAGAUGAAGAGAAUGAGAAGAAGAUAUACAAAAUAUUUUACGAAUUCUGAAUCGAGAGUUAGUACAUCGACUAGUUCAAUCUAGCAAUUACUAUGUUUUUCAUUUCAAAGAGUUAGAAUGACUCAAAGAUAUGAAUGAUACAAAAUCCGAUCCAUAAGACCCAUUAUAUUCUCGAACUUUCCAACCACGUUUAGCUUAAACCAAAGUAAACCCUUUCAAAACCAGACUAAUGGCUCUUUCAGAAAUCUGCAUGCAGCUCUUAACCAGAACUAAUUGUGUUCCCAGAACAACAUCAACACGUUUUUACAAGACAUUGUUUUCUCUGUUUGUUUGAUUGGUAACGUUUUACACUCUUGACCACAAUGGCUAGCCCUUUUUUACAACAAUUGUUAGCGACUAUCGGUCAAACCGAUCAUGUAUGUAAAUUAUAUCAUUUUUGAAUUUCGCUUCCACGGGAUCAUAUCUAAUGUACAAUUAAAUGGCAUGUCUCUUCCACUUGAUGGCGUGCAAAUUCUUGAGGCCAAAAUAGAUAUUAAAACGCACGUGGUAGGGCGGUGGUAACUGGGACUAUGGUGUAAAUACAGACCAGCAUGAUGCUUCAUUCUUAUAGAGAACAAAUUUUCUGCGUGUUGGAUCACUUGGAACUGUGCUUUGGUCAAGUGUUUUAUCCAUGGUGUAGUUUGCCGCACACUCUUGCAAACAAAUUAUUCACCCUUGAAAGUAGUCAGCGCAUAGCCCUAAGUUUUAGUAUGUGUGCAGUGCCGGUCCGGUGAAAUCCGGGGCCAAAUACGAAAAGAAAAAUUGGGGUUUUUUUUAAAAGUAGAAACUGCUAAAAAAUUUUUUUUUGCUAAUUAUGGAGCAUUUAUAAUUUUUAUUUAACAAUUUUUCUUAAAUUUUAAAGAUUUUUUGCUAAUUAUGAGGCCUUUUUGCUAAUUGUGAAGUCUUUUUUUGUUAAUUUUUGAGGCCUCUUUUACUAUUUUGAAGCUUUUUUUUGUUAAUUUUUGAGGCCUCUUUUACUAAUUUUGAAGUCUAUUUCAUAAUUUUAGGGCCUCAAAAAAAAAAAAAAAAAAUUCUUCACAAAAUGAGCCUCGAAAAUUUGAGACCCAAUACAAAUGAUUCACCAAAAUGGGUGAAGGGCCGGGCCUGUAUGUGUACGCGCGAGUCGGUGACUGAACACCAAGUGCUAUACCAAGAAAGAAAUAGCUAGCAUGCAAAAAUGUUCUUUGCAUAUAUCAUAUCAUGCCUGGGCAUUCGGAUUUCAGAUCGGAUUCGGUUCGGAUUUAUUCGGAUUCAGAUAAUUCGGGUAGGAGAUUUUAUUAUCCGUUCGGAUUUUAUGACUAUUCGGAUCGGAUUCGGUUCGGAUAGUAUCGGAUUCGGAUCGGUUUCAGAUCGGUUUUGGAUUGUUUUUCGAGUAAAAAAAACUAAAAAAUGUUCAAUUCAAAUAAAAAAAUAGUUUAAUCUUACUAAAAUUUGGCUAAGUUUUCCAAAAAUAUGUAUAAUUUUAACAAAUAUAACUAAAAACUUUCUGAUAUCUAGGUUAUUUAGGAUAUUUUUGUUAUUUGUUAUAAAAUUAUAGCUAAAUAUAACUAAUAUUUUUGGAUAUAUAAUUUUAUUUUCGGUUUUCGGAUAUCCUUUCGGUUUUCGGUUCAGAUGUGGUUCGAUUCGGAUAAUUCGGAUAGGAGAAUUCAUUAUCUGUUCGGGUUUUGUGACUAUUUGGUUCGGAUUCGGAGCCAGAUUUUUUGGAUCGGUUUCGGAUUGGUUUUCGGAUUUUAUGCCCAGGCCUAAUCAUAUGGAUAAAUGUUUAAUACUUAAGAGUUGAUAAGAUGAUCUAGAAUUAGUUGCAAAUUAUCUUCACCAUAUCUUCAGUUGUGAGAAACAUAUAAUUGAUUGUUAGAGCCUAGAGGGGCACAGUCAUAGAGCAGUUUUUAAUUGGUAUUUUGCUUAACCUGUAAAUUUGAUUGAAAAAUAUUUCGGACCACCUAGAGAGAGCGUAUGCAAGUGAAAAUUAAACAUAAACAAAACUCUUAUUUAUUAAGGACUUGUGCUAAUUACAUUAAUCUCAAACAUCCAAAACUUACAUUUUCAUAAAACACACGAUGAGGUGUGGUGUUAACAUGUAUCAACAACCACACGCUCAUACGCUCGAUGGUUUUGUUUGGAAUCUAGUAGUAAGGAGGGAAGAAGGGGAUGGUGGUCUGGAAGGGGCAUUCACCAACUUGCUGGAUCCUGCAAACCUUAGGCAAGUACUUAGCUGUCUGGUAAAUUUUCCUGGAUUGGAAUGGUCCGUGCUGUCCCUGGAGUCUAACGGCUCUAGCCGCCUGUUUCAAGGUGGGGCAAACGCAAACUGGCUCUUCCUGGCGAAGCUCGUUGCAGCACUGCUGGAGUAGCUGGUGUCCCUGCUGGGGGCCCUGUGGGUUCUCCAUAUCGUCUUCGAAAUCGAACUCAUCUUCACCACCACGACCUUGCCUUGUUUGCUUCUGCAUGAAUCUCUGGCAAGCUCUUAGGUGCUGUGAUUGCUGGAACUCCUUCUGGCAUCUCUGUCUUGGGCCCAUGGGGUUGGUGGCGUCAUCUUCGUUGAACUCGACGACGGUGCGGUAGAUGGAAGCGUUGGUGAGGAGGAAGCAGAGGGCGAGAGUUGCGCAGACGAGGAAAAGCUUGUUCGCCAUUUGGUAUUUGUAUGUGUUCUUACUCGUUAUUUGUGAUGAUGUAAAGAGUGGAAUAAAGUGGUUAAUUUAUAGGUGAAAAAUGAGAUUGCAUGGUGAUCACGUGUAAGAAUGCAUGUGUGUGUGAGAGAGUGAAUUUUUAGAGGAUGUGCAAUGGGAGUCUCUCGUCAUAGUCUCUCACAUAUGUGGAUGUCGGAUUCACACACUCAAGUAUUUUGUUAAGUGGGAAAGAUUAUUCUUGAGGGACAAAAAUGAAUAUGUAAAAACUUAUAAAUUGAUACGAAAAUUGCUAUAGUAUUUCUCUCUUGAGAGGAAGAUCCCCUUUUACAUGGUCAUUGGCCUCUAUAUUUAUACAUAGAGAAACGACAUUAAAAUGAAUAAUUAAGUACAAUUAUUCCUUCUUAAAUGUGUCCGUUUUGAUUCUUCGACUUUAAUGCUCAACGUUUGAAUUUGAGUUGACUCUGAUCUUCAUGGGACUCGCCUUUUUGGCCCAAGUGUCUUUGAACCGACUUACCCGUGUCUUCUACACUGAACUCGUAUCACAGUGCAGUCACUUCGGAUUCUCGAUGUGGUGACAACCACUUCGACCGUCCCCUCGGUUCACGGGUCCAAUGGGCUUCAUCCUUUAUGGGCCACCCGCUUGACUAUGUGGCAAUCUUUGGUUGGUCUCGUACUUCUGGUGCGGGAUCCGACACCAACAAUUAGCCCCCCAAGUUCUUCGAAGUGCUUUUCCAAUUCGGAGGACUUUAAAUGCUCAAGUGGCCAAAGAUUGCGCUCGAGAAUCUUUCUGAUUUCCCGCCGAAAAUCUCAUCACUCCUUUAAUUUUGGCACUAGCCAUUUUUAACCGAGUGACAUCUGUCAUCAUUAUGACCGUAUAUUGAUUAAUUACUAUUAAAACGGGAAAAAACCUUCCCACUUCCCACACGACUUCCGGGCGGUUUCAUCAUUAGCUUGAGGUAACUUCUUUUCACCAUUACUCUCUUCUUUUAUUUUUGUACUUUAAUCAAAACCUCUCUCUUCGUUCCUUCACCAAAACCCCUCUUCGCCGGAUCUUGAAUUUUUCUUUGUUCCCAAUGACUUCCGAUUCUGAUAGACCCGAGUCUCCGUCUUUCGACGAAAGACGUUCUAGUAACGACGAGUGCACCCGCCCUGGUGAUAUUGCCGGUCCGCACUAUAGGUCCGCUUGUACUCUUCAAUCCCUCGAGCGAUUGAGAGAGCUUUGCCGGAUUCCGCCGGAAAUUAUGGCGGAAGCACAAAUAGCUUCCCCCACAGAAUCUCCAGAGAACCAUCGCGAUGGUUACUUCUGUGUGUAUGAGAUUUAUUUCAAGGGUUGCGGGCUGACCUUUCCUCUUCCUGAAGCCUUAGUUUUAUACCUAGCGGCUCUUGAAAUCGCUCUUCCUCAAUUAACCCCCAAUCUUCUUCGUACUAUUCUUGGCCUUAUAACAAUCGCGGCGGAGGCCGGUUACGUUAUCGGAGUUGCUGAACUAAAUGAGCUUCUGAGUGUGAGAAGUUCAUCGAAGAAAGCGGGGUACUUCUCAGCAUAUCCUAAUGCCAACAGGAACAUCAUUUCACAUCUUCCGAACAAGGAUGAAAAUUGGCAUCAUCCUUGGUUUCUAAUUAAGAAAACUCCCGCUUCGAUUGGAAAUCUCGCAUAUUUUCUCCCUUCGAAGUGGUCUGCGAAACCCGGUAGUCAUUAGGUUGCCCGUAUCUUUCCCGGUUGUUUCUUUAUCUUUAUUGACUAACACCGUUGUUUCUUUCGCAGCUUUCAUCGCUUCCAUUCUCCCAUCUGAAGAGUUCAUCGAAUUCUUCAAAAUAAUUCUUGAAGGGGAAACCCUUUGGAAUUCCUUCACUCUUGAACGAUUCCUAGAGGCUAACCACAGACUCAGGAUGAGUCCGCCUGGUCAUCUUCACCAAAUUCCUCCCCCUCCCUCAACUCAGGGAAUGUCAUCUCGGGCCCUUGCGGCCAAGCGUAAGUUGCUUUCCAAGCCGAUGGCUGAGGCUUGCGAGGAGAAGAAAAAGUUUCUCGCGACUUCUAUAGACAAGAAGGACUAUAGUAGGACCUUGCUGGUUGAUGAUGGCAGUACCGAGGGAGCCCGAUCUGUUGCUUCCUUCAGACUAACUCCUCGUCGCGACCGCCGCGACUCACGUUCUCCUCGGAGGGAUCAAUCUCCUCGCCGUGAUUCACCUCGUCCUCCCCGAGAUGAUUUUAGUAACGAGCCAAUUAAGAACUUGGUUCGCCGGAAGAGAGACAAAUCCUCUCGCAGUGAUCCUUCCCCGCAGAGGGAAAAGUCAAGGGCCCGGACUGACCGCUCACCUCGGUCAUCCCCUCCUUCUGAACCAAUGGGUCCUCCACGACCGGUUGACAUGUCCUCCUCUUCCCAGCCUGAUAGUGGAAAGACUGCCCGGAGCGCGUCUCCGAAAAAGGGAGACUCUGAAUCUCGAGAUGCUCCCUCGAGGCUGAAGCCUGCUCUUGUCCCUCAAGUCAAAUCGCUUUCAGGUUUGGUGAUUUACACAUACUUAAACUUUUUGUCUUUAUUAAAAUUCCAAUUUUUACAACUCUUCCUUCUUCGCAGCUAUGGAGAAAGAGGACAGCGUCUUCCGAUGCUUCAAGACCCGAUCGGGUUCGAUCUUACCAGACUUCGACAAAUGGCGUCCUGCAAUUCGUGAACGUUAUUUGCUUCAUGCGCAUCACUCAUCUCGGGUUAGUUCCGCUUUCUUUUAUGUAUAUUUUUUAUUGUAUUGCCAUUCUGCGAACUGACUCGUCAUCCCGGGUUCAUGUAUAACGCCAGGCUCAUAGCGAAUUUAACGACAUGAUCGAACAUUACGAAGGGUUGGUCAUUGGCCGGGAGAAGGAGAUUGACAUGUGGAAAAAGAAACUCUCUGCCCUUGAGGCCGAACUCAGUUCUUCUGCCGGCUCCAAGCACGAUCUGGAGGACAAAGUCGACAAUUUAACAUCCGAGCUAGCGCAGAUAAAGGGGGAGCUGCAGGGUCAGUACGACCAGAACUUCAAACUCCAGGAAGAGUUUUCUGGUAUUCAAGGUAGGCUUCAAGAGUCCGAAUCAAACGCUGAUUCCCUGAACAACCAACUCAUCGAGCUCAACGCGAAGUACAAGGCGAUCGCCAAAUUGCGUGACUCCGAGUUGGCGAGGUCAGCAUCAAAAGCCAGAAAAGAGGUUAAGGGACGCGGGAUGGAGUUGAUCCAAGGGGCCAUCCGAUUCAUGCAGACUGAGAAGGCUAGGUCUGACUUGGAAUCAGACAUCAAGGAGCACGAGAGCAACCUGAUCCUGCUGGAUCAAAUCCAUGAUGCAGAUUUCUCCGAGGAUCAAGAGAGAACCGAACUAUCGGCUAAUCUUUCUGAAAAGCGGAGUCGCUUGGCAGCUCUUCCUACUUCGACCUUCAACCCUCAGGACUUCGAGGAAUUCUUCACCGAAUCGCCUCCUAUAAGCGAAUCAGGUCUAGACUGGGCAGGUAAUGCUUGGCUCCUGAUAUUUAUUACCUUUCCUUUUCUUGCACCUUUGAUUGACUGGAAUUAUUAUUCCUAGGCUCAAGUGAGGCGGAGGACGUUGUCCCGCCCGUAGCUCCUAUGGUAUCGGAGGUCACUCCGGAGGUUGGUUGUACCGCGGAGGGUGGUCAGGGAGCUUCAUCUGAUCAAGCAGCUGCCAAGGACGCGAAUGAAGCUUCGACUGUUGAGCCGGACUCCGAGGUGGCUGCUGCUCCGUAGUGGCUGUGUCCACUUUAAAUUGGGGAUUGUCCCUUUAUUUUUAAGAUUUAAUUUCAAACUUAUUUUUGCCUAAGGAGGCUUUAUUAUUUUCUUUUGAACAAGAUAUUUGCCUGAGGAGGCUUUUAAACCUUUCUAGGUUGUGACCCAAGGGGGUUUGGUUAAAAUUAUAUGCGGGUUUGCAAAGUCCGCUUUUAACCUUUUGUGGCCUUGUGGCUAUGCUUUUGAGAUAUUUAGGCUGAUCAGACCUUUCUCUUUUAGAAUGCGAGAACUGAGCCCGGCUUAAAACGAGUUCCCCACUUCGGGUUUAGUCAACUCGAUAAACUUGUUGGGCUUGGGCCUUAGAAACUUUUGCAGUUAAUGCGACGGUUGCUCUUUCCCUUCUUAAAGAAAACGGCUCGUCUUUUAAUGUAAUAAUUGCCUUUUCUCGAUUUUCCAAAAAUGGUUUAACCCACUCGGAAACGCUACCAUUAAUGGAUUUAUGGUUCCAAGACAAACCCUAAAUCAUUAUAAAUAAAGGCUUACCUACCUCUAGGCUUUAUUAAACAUGACUCUAGAGUCUUACUUGAGAAAUAUUUUAAGAAUGGAGAACGAAACAGCAGCCCCCGUUGAUCCCGGCAGUCCACUCUUCUUAUCCGGCGACGGCUUUGAACCGGCCGGCGUUCUCUUCCCUCACGCCGUCUUUCACUUUCCUCCGAAGGAGAAGAAAGAGGCUUGCGAUUUUAUUGACAAGGUAAAUGUUAGAGUUUUUGGUUUAAAACUUCUUAUUUCGUUUUAUUCACUCAUUUUUAUGCUAGGUCGCCGACAAGCACCGUCGCUUGUGUGAAGAGAGGCAGCGGCUGGGACUCAAAAGGCAGACGCUCGAGGCUCGCAUCGCUCGGGUGGAAAGGAAGAUACGGGCUUUGGAGAGUGAUCCCUUUCAAUGGGAGUGGCGGAACUUCGAUUCUGUUGCUGAGAUCCCGAAGAUGCUUCAGAUGUAUCUCCGCGCUAGAGGAGUCCCGGGUCCCGUGAACGCCCCUGUCUUCGCCGUUCCAUCCGACAGUGAAGAGGAAGAGGACUUGGAGGAGGAGGCCAGCAACUGCCGGAAACGCGUUCGGGAUCGCUCCGAAGUGGAUGCCAAAAACAAGGCGUCCACUUUGAAGACUGAACCGGCGAUGAAGGAGCCUGUUCCUGAGCCUCUCCCAUAAAUGUUCUCUAAUUUCUUCACUUCUUCUUUUUUUUUUUUUUAAACUCGUAAUGGGCUUCGCCCCCUUUUUAUUUAUGGAAAUAUUUGCUACUUUCCUUUCUUUCCAAAUAUUCUUGGAGAUGCGUCUUUUAAUGCAGGAUCCGUUCGAGGGCAUAAAUCUCUCCGCGAAUCAUUCCAUUCCUUGGAUAGAAUCCGCAGCUUGCUAGGGAUAUGGAGUUCCUAUAAAUUAUAGGUUCAAUUCCCCUUUACUCCUCACCACUCUUUUUUUUUUAUUUUAGCAGGUAUGGAGUUCAAUCUACGCUGUUCAGAAUCUAUGCCCGACUUCUCCAGAAUCGGAAUGAUGAAUGAAGAUGUUCCAAGUGAGCCCAACAGGCAGCCUCCUCCACUUCGUGGCUUCUUGAGAUCUCAAAUCCGAGCCCCAUGUGCUUUGAUCAGGGAUCUCCCAAUCAGAGACCAAGGAACGGCGACGGUGUUCAUUGAGGCGCUCAAGCUUCAACACCGGAAGCUUACGUCGGAAAAGAGGAGACUUCGGAAGAGGAUUAACCGAAUGCAACGCAGGCUUACUACAGUGUCAAGAAGUCUUCACAUCCUUGAAUCUCACCCCGGAGAGUGGAUUGAGCUUGGAAUUUCUGACUUUGCUCGAAUUCCGGACUGCAUGAUGCCGAUCCUUGAUCUUGCUGGUCAAGGAGUUGAAGUGUUCUGCUCAUCAACAAGAUUUCCAUAAUCCGAAGUGUACGAUGAAGGACAUUCUGUUUUUUUUUUUUUUUUUUUAAAUAACGCUCUAUUUCCAAUUCCUUGUAUGUUCGUUUAGCCGAACCUUCUAUUUGCUUCACUUGUUCGCACAGUCGAACCUUUCUCCUUUAAUAAAGAAAUAAAACAAAUUUUUAUUAAUAGCUGAACUCGUUUUCGAGCUGCCUACGUACCCAUCUUGGGAUCAAGCCACACCGUAGUUCAUGUACAUAAACAAUGCAUGUAGCUUUAAACAUAAAAUUUCUUUAGGUUGAUCACAUUCCAAGGUCGCUUGACUGGAUUGUCUUCUAAGUCUUUCAACCUAUAAACACCGUUCCGAACCACUUCGGUAAUAAUGUAAGGUCCUGCCCAAUUAAUACCGAGUUUACCGGCGCCUUCUUCUUUUCUGUUAUCAAAGACGCGCCUUAAUACAUAAUCUCCCACGAAGAACGGCCUACUUUUAACCUUAGAAUUGUAAUACCGGGCUGCUGCCUGUUGGUAAUUCUGGAUCCGGACUAGAGCUUGAUCACGCCUUUCAUUUAUGGUAUCCAGUGAAUCAUUAAGCAUUGCUGAAUUUUCUUCCUCAUUUAACGGUGCUUCUGUUCGACGAAGUCCGGGCACAUUGAGUUCAGCUGGUACUACCGCCUCCAUGCCAUAAACCAAAGAGAAUGGAGUUUCUCCUGUAGGUCGCCUAGGAGUCGUACGAUAGGCCCACAGGACGGGUUGGAGUUCUUCAUACCAUCCUCCCUUUAGAUGACUUAAGCGUUUCUUGAGAUUGCUUAAUAUUGUCUUGUUCACGGCUUCAGCUUGUCCGUUCCCUUGCGGAUACCGUGGAGUAGAAUAACUAACUUUGAUUCCCCAGUCCGCACAAAAGGCAUCAAACUCGUGUGAAAUGAAUUGUGGCCCGUUAUCAGUGACUAUUUCGUAUGGAACUCCAUGUCGACAUAUAAUGUUUUUCCAAAUAAAGGUCUUCACCGCCGAAUCCUUGAUACCAACAUACGCCUCAGCUUCAAUCCAUUUUGAAAAGUAGUCCGUAAGGACUAAAAGGUACUGUACACCUCGAGUUGAUUUGUGCAAUGGCCCAAUGAUGUCCAUUGACCAUCUCAUAAACGGGUAUGGGGCGGAAAUGGAGGAGAAUAAUUCCGACGGUUGAUGGAUCAAUGGUGCAUGGAGUUGGCAGCGCUUGCAUCUUUGGGCGAACUUAACACAAUCUGUGAUCAUAGUGGGCCAAAAAUACCCCAUUCUUUUAACUUUAAAAGCCAUAGCUCUUCCUGAUGAAUGACUCCCACAUAAUCCUUCAUGCACCUCGCUCAUGACGAUUUCUUCGGGCCCAAAAAUGCAUAAUAGGUAAGGGUCACUGACACCUCGUCUAUACAACGCAUCCUUUGACAGACAAAAUUUUGCGCUAACGACUUUCAUUUUCCUGGCCUGUCAUUUAUUCUUUGGGAGCUCACCUGUCAUGAUGUAGUGCUUUAUUGGCUCCCUCCAAUCAGCCCCCCAGUCUUUAGCCGGAAUUUGAUCAACUUUUUGGAAUAUUCGUGGCUCUGGUUCGGGAUGCUCGUUUGGUUCAAGAACAUCUUCCUCGAUUAAUGGCUUGGUUUCUAACAUCGUUUCUGGAACCACUUCUUCAGCUAAGACAACGGGUUCCUUGUUAGAUGUAUUUGAUCCCUUUGACUUCCUGCGUUUGUUGGGUGGCGGUUCGAUCUCUGGUUCGCCACGGUUGCGUGCCGCUGCUCGAGACCUUGUAACGACGAGGGUUUCCUUGCUGUCUUGAAUGCUUCGCUCCGAGAUGCACUCUACUGGAAUAACUCUCUUUAACUCAGGAUAUGAUGUUGACGCCAAUGCGGCAAGUGCAUCUGCAGUUGUAUUCUCUCCCCGAGGUAUGCGGAUUAACUCGAAUUUCGAGAAAUUUUUAGAUAGAUCCUUCACCACUUCGAGGUACGCUUCCAUUCUUGAAUCUUUGGCUUCAUAGUCUCCAUUAAAUUGGUUAACUACUAAUUGCGAAUCGCAAUAAGCCAAUAUUUCCUUAGCUCCAACUCCUUGUGCUAGUCGAAGUCCGGCAAUAAGGGCUUCGUAUUCUGCCUCGUUGUUGGAGGCAUUGAAUAACAAUCGGAAUGAUUGUUCUAGAAUUUCUGAUGUCGGAGAUUCCAACCUAAUUCCCACUCCGGAUCCUUGCUUUGUUGAAGACCCAUCUACGUGUAAUUUCCAAGUUUGGUUCUCCGGUUGAUCUAUCGUUCCAGGUAUUGGUAGUUCGGUCAGGAAGUCUGCUAAGACCUGAGCCUUCAUACUGAUCCGGCUUUUGAACUCUAUGUCGUACUCGCUUAAUUCCACCGCCCAUUUCGCCAAACGUCCGGAUUGACUUGGACUAUGAAGUAUUGUUCUGAGUGGUUGGUUAGUUAAUACUUCAACCGGAUGGGACUGAAAAUAUGGACGCAGCUUCCGAGCCGAAGUUACCACCGCGAGUGCAAGUUUUUCCAUCAUUGUGUAUCUGGUUUCCGGAUCCGUCAUUGACUUGCUCACGUAGUAAAUUGGUUUCUGCUCCCCACGGUCUUCCCGAACCAAGACUCCACUAACCGCGUGGUUUGAAACUGAAACGUACAAGUAGAGUUUUUCAUCCACUUCCGGUUUGGACAGUAUAGGUGGAGUGGUUAAGUAUGCCUUAAGCUGCCCAAAAGCUUCUUCACACUUCUCAUCCCAAAGAAAUCCUUUGUUCCCUUUUAGAAUUUGGUAGAAAGGCAACGACUUAUCUGUUGAUCUCGAGAUAAAACGAUUCAAGGCCGCAAUCCGCCCAGUCAACCGUUGUACUUCUUUGAAGUUUCUCGGAGAUGGCAUGUUUAGAAAGGCGUUAAUUUGAUUUGGAUUGGCUUCAAUCCCUCUUUCUAUCACGAUAUAGCCAAGGAAUUCUCCGGAUGGGACUCCAAAUGUGCACUUCGCCGGGUUCAGCUUCAUUUGAUAUUUAUUGAGAAUAUCAAUACAUUCUUCCAAAUGUUUAACAUGAUCUUCUUUCUUCAACGAUUUAACCAACAUAUCAUCUAUGUAGACUUCCAUAGUCUUCCCGAGGUGAUUGUGAAACAUUUUGUUCACCAACCGUUGGUAAGUCGCUCCUGCAUUUUUCAAUCCAAAAGGCAUUACCUUGUAACAGUAGAUACCUCUAUCUGUGAUAAAUGACGUCUUUUCUUGAUCGUCGGGGUUCAUCAUUAUCUGAUUAUAACCCGAGAAGGCGUCCAUGAAUGUUAACAGCUCAUUUCCAGCGGUGGACUCUACAAGUCGAUCUAUAUGCGGGAGCGGGAAACUAUCUUUGGGACAUGCUUUAUUUAGGUCUGUAAAGUCGAUGCAAACCCUAUCUUUCCCAUUCUUUUUCUUGACAACGACAGUGUUUGCUAUCCACUCCGGAUAUUGCACUUCUCUUAUGGACCCCAUCUUCAAAAGAUUAUCCACUUCGUCGUUUACUAUUUUUGCCCGCUCCACUCCAAGCUUUCUUCUUUUUUGUUUCACCGGUUUGAAGCUUGGAUCUACGUUUAGUUCAUGACAAAUUAUACUCGGAUUUAUGCCCGGCAUGUCCGCUGCAGACCAUGCAAAUGAUGCUUUGUUUUUCCUUAAGAGUUCGAUCAAAGCUUCUUUUAUUUGGCCAGUCAAAGUUGCUCCAAUUCUAAUUUUCCGGUCCGGCUUGUCUUCUUCCAGUACCACUUCGACUACUACAUCCUCUUUUUUCUGCCCACUAGGAAAUUUUGUUUUUAGUCCUUCUUUUGCGGGCUUCGUUAAUUGCUAUUGAAUCUUCAUACGGUGGCUAGCUAAGUAACAAGUCCGCGAAGCUUCUUGAUCUCCCCGAAUCGUUUCCACCCCAUUUGAUGUUGGAAAUUUGAUACAUUGAUGGUAUGUAGAGGGGACUGCUUUCAUCCGAUAAAUCCAGGGAGUCCCGAGGAUGAUGUUGUAAGCUGCGGGCUUAUCGAAGACAACAAAGUCCACGAUCUUCGAUACCUUCUUGGCAAGGACCGGUAGCUUGAUUGUUCCGAGAGAUAUGGCUGACUCGCUUGUGAAUGCAACUAACGGAGAUGGGGGUCCUACUAUGUCUCCUCGGCUGAUUCCCAUUUUUUCUAGAGUACUUAAAAAGAUUAAGUCAACCAAACUGCCUGUAUCUAUAAGGAUCCUCGAUACUUCGAAGUUGGCGACAUCAAGGGUAAUGACUAGAGCAUCAUCAUGAGGCCUUUUGAGGUACCGCGUUUCUUCUUCAUCGAAUGAUAUUGAUGCACCUUGAAAAUCGACUUCUUCGCUUAAGCUUGCUUUGAGUAAGACAUUUCGUCUAUGCUUUUUGAUUGAACUUAUUGAAUCUCCGCAAAAUCUGGAUCCCCCUAGAAUCACAUUGAUCUUACCCUUAGAACUCCUUGGUUCUUCCUCGUUGGACAAUCUUGGUCUUUUGGAAUUUUGAUCUUUGGAGUUUUCCCUUGCUUCGUGGUAUUCCUUCACAAAAUCUUUUAUAUCGAAUUUAGAAAGAUCGCCACUAGCCCAAAGCUCUGCGAGGUGCUUUUUAAGAACGCUGCAAUCCUUAGUUAAAUGUCCGGUUACUUUAUGAAUGUCGCAAUAUAGACUUUCAUCACGGACCCAAGUGUUUGAUCUCCCUUUCCCUUGGAAUUGCUUUCCAACGGUACUGUUGAAGGGUUGCGACCCAAAUUUCCUUGGUCCUUUGCUUUCCCUAGGCUCGAACUUCUUGGCAGGGACGGUGAUUGCUGGCUUUUCUUGCUUACUUCUUUUGGCGAAACUUUCUUUUUCGUCCUCUACCUCCAUCCAAUUGUUCGCGCGAAAGAGUGCAUCCUGAAUUGUGUCUGGUUUAUGAAGUAUUAAGUCUUCUUUAAACUUUGAAUCAUGUCGCAAUCCUUUUCGUAGGGCAGAUAAAGCUGAUUGCUGUGAGAUUCUUGGGAGUUUUGACAGCACUCCUUUGAAUUUGGUGAUGAAAACUCGAAGUGACUCACUAGAUCCUUGCGAUAAGUUCCAAAGAUCAGCAUCCGAAACACUUUUAUCCAUAAGAAUGGAGUAUUGCUUUAAGAAUACGGCUGAUAGUUCGUCGAAAUUGCUGAUCGAACCUGGCUCUAAUUGGGUGAACCACAUUAGAGCUUGGCCACACAGAUUCUCCGAAAAAAGCUUGCAGUAACCUGCAUCCUCAUCAGCUUCAUCCAAUUCGACUCUUCUAGCAGCAAUCAGAAAAGCUGCGAGAUAGCUUUUUGGAUCCUCCAAUCCGCUGUAAGGGUCCAACUUGAGUUUCCGGGAAUCUUUGAUCCUCAAACUUGCAAUUCGCGGGAUAAAAGGGGUUCGCCUAGCUUCUUCAAUGACUGGAUUGAUGUCUGGCUCCGAACUUGUAGCCUGAUAAAAUUUUGAUUUCAUUUCUUUUAAUUCCUGGCUAACCUUCCUCAUGGUCUCGAACUGGUCGAGGUUCUCCUGCUCGUACUGAGCUGCAAGUUGUUCUUCAUCCCCGAGCUGCAUCUCUUCUUCCGACGUCUGAGCUACAUUAUUAGUAGCACCGGGAGUUGUUUGUCCGCUGGUUUCAUUUCGUGCAGCGGAACUUGGCGAGUUGAAUAUCCCUCUUCGGGUUCCCACCGGGUUUCCUGCACUUAAAGAGCGAACACGAGUUUGUAUAUUAUUGACGUUUUGACUAAGAGAUACCUGGGAUGUUUGCAACGUAUCGACGGCCUUCUCCACAUCCGAGAACUUUUGUGAUAUGUCCGACAUGGUUUGCUGCAUAGCUUUGAGGGUUUCGGCCAAUGAUGUCUCAACGGCGUCUCCUCCGGACAUUGUCGCUUAUCUCGGAAAUGUAGAAAAGAAGAAAUCUGACCACUCAAGAAUCCUGAUAUCCCCACAGGCGGCGCCAAAAUGUGGAUGUCGGAUUCACACACUCAAGUAUUUUGUUAAGUGGGAAAGAUUAUUCUUGAGGGAUAAAAAUGAAUAUAUAAAAACUUAUAAAUUGAUACGAAAAUUGCUAUAGUAUUUCUCUCUUGAGAGGAAGAUCCCCUUUUACAUGGCCAUUGGCCUCUAUAUUUAUACAUAGAGAAACGACAUUAAAAUGAAUAAUUAAGUACAAUUAUUCCUUCUUAAAUGUGUCCGUUUUGAUUCUUCGAUUUUAAUGCUCAACGUUUGAAUUUGAGUUGACUCUGAUCUUCAUGGGCCUCGCCUUUUUGGCCCAAGUGUCCUUGAACCGACUUACCCGUGUCUUCUACACUGAACUCGUAUCACAGUGCAGUCACUUCGGAUUCUCGAUGUGGUGACAACCACUUCGACCGUCCCCUCGGUUCACGGGUCCAAUGGGCUUCAUCCUUUAUGGGCCACCCACUUGACUAUGUGGCAAUCUUUGGUUGGUCUCGUACUUCUGGUGCGAGAUCCGACACCAACAACAUACAAAAGUAUUAAUAAAAUAAUCAAUAUUCUUAUUUAAAUAUAAAAGUCUCUUAAAAAAGUCGAGAUAGUCUCUCACUUGAAAUAUUAUGAAAGACUUUCUUUACUUUUUUGAAAGACUCUUGUAUUUAAAUAAUAAUAUUGAUUAUUUUAUUAAUACUUUUAUAUGUGAAAAAUUUUGGUGAGAGACUUCUAUUACACAUGCUUUUAGGUUUUUAUCGCGAUUAGGUGUUGGAAGAGAGUGACAAGUGACGAACAACUCCAGCCUCUGCGUCUGCAUGCUAUAUAUGUGUGAUUUGUAGCUCAUGUUCUGACGUGACAUCUUGUGAACGAUUUUUAAGAAGAAGCCAAAAAGAUUAUUAAAACAGAAAUACAGAAUUAAUUUGGUUUCAGCGGAAUAUGUGAGAGUCAAUCUUUUGGUGGUAUAGUGCAAUUGGAAAAUAUGUUUUGGGAGCUUAAUCUGAAAUGUAGAUGUUAGAAAAUGAUUCUAUAUAUAUAGUCACGGUGCACGACCCAACAGUGUUAUAAAUAUGUAAAUGAUCAGGGAAUACAACUCAGAAGACUAAAGUAUUAUUUUAUAGAGAAAUUGGCCAAAAUGGCUACAAAAUAUAGUGAAAUCGAAAAAGAAAAAAAAAAAAAGAAAUCGAAAUUAUAGCAUAGUGACAAAUUGAGACUUUUUUUUAGAACAAAUUGACUCAUAUCUCUAUAACAUUAACAAUUUAUAAAAAAGGUUGUGUAUAUACUAUAUAGUAGUUUUCAAUGUGUUUAUCGGUGUUUAAUUUGUAACCUGCGAUGCGAAUGUCUAGUAAAAUAUUUCGGGAAUUAUCUCAAUUUGUUCUUCUCUUUGGUUCAACUUUUAUCCGGUAUUUUUUACUCUUUUUUGACUACACGUUUUAGGUCCAUUAGACCAUCCUUAUUGCAAGGUUCUUAACAUGGUUCUUAAAGAAAUUGAGAUUAAAAUUAAAUGUUUAAUUGUUGAUUUUGGUAAGAAAUGGCUCUUAACUAAGAGUCAAAAUUAAUGUUAAGAGACGGACACGUGUCGCGUUUCUCUUUCUUCUCCUCCUCUCUCUCUUUUUCGAGAUUUUUAUUCUUUUAGCGACAACGGAGGCAAAAUCCGGCUCUUAUUUGGGAUAAGACAAAAAUAGGCAAUAUUAUGCAAGCAUGUAUAAUACUUCAUAAUAUGAUAGUAGAAGACGAACGAGAUGGGUAUACUCUGUUUAAUGUAACCGAAUUCCAACAAGCGGAAUCUGCCGGAAGUUCACAGGUGGAUUUCACCUAUUCUACAGAAAUGCCUACAAAUUUCGUCGAAAUGAUGGCCGCUAGAACUCGAGUUCGAGAUCGAGGUAUGCAUCAAGAAUUGAAGAAGAAUUUGGUCGAGCAUAUAUGGACUAAAUAUUCCAGAAAUCAAACUUAAAUUUUUUGUGCUUUAUGUUAUGUAUGUUUUAAAUUGUAUCUCAUGUAUGUUUUAAAUUUUUAAAUUUGCAACAAUUAUUAAGUUUUAUAAAAUUUUAGUUUUGUUUAAAAAAAAAAAUUUCUAAGAACCAUAUGCUAAGAGACUACCAUUGGAGAUAAAUAAAAUUUGAAAACAAAAUACAAGCUCUUAAGUAAAAUUUUUACAAUUUUAAUACUAAAAAAUUACUAAGAACCAUCGGUGAGCUACUGCCUUCAAAAAAUAACUAAAUUUUUUCACUACGAAAAAAAUCUCAUCAAAUCAUUUUUCAGAUGGACUAUUCAUAAACCAAUCUCAAACUCUAGUUAUAGUAUAGUCGUUUAUGGUGUCAUACCAUUCAUAAACAAACUGUAUACCAUUCUCAUAUAGAUUAUCAAUCUCAAAUCGAAGAUUGUACAUCAUUUCGUUUAUGCAAGUUAUAGUUUUUUGUUCAUUUAUAUGCUUCGUUAUAGCUUUUUAAAGAAGAAAUUUGGACACCAGUUUUUUAAAAUGGUACUUUUAGCCACAAAUUAAUAAUUAAAAACAUUUUUUUUUUUUUGACAAAGACAUGUAUACCAUUUGUUAAAGUAGCAAGAAAGAUCAAACUGCAAAUUCAUUCCCUUGGUCUCUACGCACUUGAAGUCUUAAUUAGUUACAAUUUACACAUUAUAUCUCUGAUGAGUAGUAGUCUAUGAUCUUUCCGUGGAGCAGUAGCCUAUGAUUUUUCCCGUUCAUUGUAGUAAAGUUAUUUUUAUCUAACCGUCAUGAAUUUUUAGAGAGCAGCAGCAAAUUAAAUUUAGCAAACCAAAAACAUAAACAAAACUCUUAUUUAUUAAGGAGUAGUGCUAAUUACAUUAGCCUCAAACAUACUAAAGCUUACAUUUUCAUAAAACACAAGAUGAGGUGUGGUAUCAACAACCACACUCUCAUACGCUUUGAGAGUUUUGUUUGGAAUUUAGUAGUAAGAAGGGAAUGAAGGGAUCUUGAAGGGGCAAACAUCAACUUGCGGGAUGUUGCAAACUUUAGGCAAGUUCUUAGCUGUCUGGAAAAUUUUCCUAACUUGCAUUGGUUGGUGCUGUCCCUGGAGUCUAACGGCCCUGGCAGCUUGUUUCAAGGUGGGGCAAACACAAUAUGGCUCUUCCUGGCGAAGCUCGUUGCAGCACUGCUGGAAUAGCUUCUCUUCCUGCUGGGGGCCCUGUGGGUUCUCCAUGUCGUCUUCGAAAUCGAGCUCAUCGUUACGGCCUUGCCUUGCUUGCCGGCGCAUCAAUUGCUGGCAAGCUCUUAGGUGUUGUUCUUCCUGAAAUUCCUUCUGGCAUUUCCUUACUUUUGGGCCUAUGGGGUUGGUGGCGUCAUCCUCGUCGAACUCGACGAUGGUGCGGUAGAUGGAAGCGUUGGUGAGGAGGAAGCAGAGGGCGAGAGCUGCGCAGACGAGGAAGAGUUUGUUUGCCAUUUUUUUUUGCUAGUUGU
rnacentral:lncRNA from 1 species